CAGAUGACCAUUCCAGAGUGAAACUGCACGGACAACCAGAUUUCUUCAUAAAUGCAUGCUAUAUUGACGGAUAUAAAAGAAGUAAAGCAUACAUAGCAUCUCUAGGUCCGACCGCCAAAACUACAAGCGACUUUUCAACAUUUUGGAAGAUGAUUUGGUAUGAAAGAGCUGAUAUUAUUGUCAUGCUAACAAACCUUCGUGAACCAUCGGUAA